rnacentral:rRNA from 1 species
CACGUAGGGCGCGAGCGUUGUCCGGAAUUAUUGGGCGUAAAGAGCUCGUAGGCGGCCUGUUGCGUCCGCUGUGAAAGCCCGGGGCUUAACCCCGGGUCUGCAGUGGAUACGGGCAGGCUAGAGGUAGGUAGGGGAGAAUGGAAUUCCCGGUGUAGCGGUGAAAUGCGCAGAUAUCGGGAGGAACACCGGUGGCGAAGGCGGUUCACUGGCCCGUUUCUGACGCUCAGGCGCGACAGCGUGGGGAUCAAACAGG